GUCGGGAGUCUUGCACAAUGGGGGAAACCCUGAUGCAGCGACGUCGCGUGUGGGAUGAAGUAUUUCGGUAUGUAAACCACUUUUGCGGGGGGCGAAAAAAAUGACGGUACCCCGCGAAUAAGCCCCGGCUAACUACGUGCCAGCAGCCGCGGUAAUACGUAGGGGGCGAGCGUUGCUCGGAUUGACUGGGCGUAAAGCGCGCGGAGGCGGUCCAUUAAGUGUGCGGUGAAAUUCGGAGGCUCAACCUCCGUCCCGCCGCGCAAACUGAUGGUCUUGAGAUUGGGAGGGGGAUGCGGAAUUCCUGGUGUAGCGGUGAAAUGCAUUGAUAUCAGGAGGAACACCGGCGGCGAAAGCGGCAUCCUGGCUUAUAUCUGACGCUGAGGCGCGAAAGCGUGGGUAGCAAACGGGAUUAGAAACCCUGGUAGUCC
rnacentral:rRNA from 1 species